GACGAACCGUGCGAACGUUGUUCGGAAUCACUGGGCUUAAAGGGCGCGUAGGCGGAUGAGCAAGUCCGGAGUGAAAUCCUUCGGCUUAACCGGAGAAGUGCUUUGGAUACUGCUUGUCUUGAGGGAGGUAGGGGCAUGUGGAACUUCUGGUGGAGCGGUGAAAUGCGUUGAUAUCGGAAGGAACGCCGGUGGCGAAAGCGACGCACUGGACCUCUUCUGACGCUGAGGCGCGAAAGCCAGGGGAGCAAACGGG
rnacentral:rRNA from 1 species